UACGGAGGGAGCUAGCGUUGUUCGGAUAUACUGGGCGUAAAGCGCACGUAGGCGGCGUCGUAAGUCAGGGGUGAAAUCCCGGAGCUCAACUCCGGAACUGCCCUUGAAACUGCAAUGCUAGAAUCUUGGAGAGGCGAGUGGAAUUCCGAGUGUAGAGGUGAAAUUCGUAGAUAUUCGGAAGAACACCAGUGGCGAAGGCGACUCGCUGGACAAGUAUUGACGCUGAGGUGCGAAGGCGUGGGGAGCAAACAGG
rnacentral:rRNA from 1 species